rnacentral:lncRNA from 1 species
AUGUCUACAGGAAUGAAGCCUUGGAGAUGCCACCCACGUUCAACUUCUACAAAAUCCCACGGCCAUCCACGAGGCAUUAGCCCCUGUUGCUCACAGCAUGGGCACAGAGGAGAUGGACAUGGCUGCUUUGUCUGCUGCACCUUCUCCUUGGGUGCUGGGGAGCAGGUUGGGACCCCUUGGCUGAAACCUCCUCUCCUCUCCAGUUCCCAUUAUGUGACAGUGCCCUGGUAUGUGUGGGAGGGGGCUGCUCCUUGCACUGCCCCAGGUGAGGCUUCACACACAGCCCCCACCAGACAGAGUAGGCUCAGGGCAGUUUGUACUGCCCAUGGCACUGCAGCCUGUGCUGCUGGCUAGCAGGAACCUGCUUAGCCAGGGCCCUCGCUUGAAAAAUGUGACUAUUUAUUUUUGCAGGGAGCCUGAAUCUUUCCAAGGCUGUGAUUUUUG